rnacentral:rRNA from 1 species
GAUGAACGCUGGCGGCGUGCCUAAUACAUGCAAGUCGAGCGAACAGAUGAGGAGCUUGCUCCUCUGACGUUAGCGGCGGACGGGUGAGUAACACGUGGAUAACCUACCUAUAAGACUGGGAUAACUUCGGGAAACCGGAGCUAAUACCGGAUAAUAUAUUGAACCGCAUGGUUCAAUAGUGAAAGACGGUUUUGCUGUCACUUAUAGAUGGAUCCGCGCCGCAUUAGCUAGUUGGUAAGGUAACGGCUUACCAAGGCAACGAUGCGUAGCCGACCUGAGAGGGUGAUCGGCCACACUGGAACUGAGACACGGUCCAGACUCCUACGGGAGGCAGCAGUAGGGAAUCUUCCGCAAUGGACGAAAGCCUGACGGAGCAACGCCGCGUGAGUGAUGAAGGUCUUCGGAUCGUAAAACUCUGUUAUUAGGGAAGAACAAAUGUGUAAGUAACUAUGCACGUCUUGACGGUACCUAAUCAGAAAGCCACGGCUAACUACGUG